rnacentral:rRNA from 1 species
GUUACUGCCUGGCUGUGAGCGGCGGUGUACGUGAGGCGGCAAGCGUUGUCCGGAAUUAUUGGGCGUAAAGAGCCUGUAGGCGGUCUGUUACGUCUGCUGGGAAAACCCAGGGCUUAACCCUGGGCUUGCAGUGGAUACGGGCAGACUAGAGGCAGGUAGGGGAGAAGGGAAUUCCCGGUGUAGCGGUGAAAUGCGCAGAUAUCGGGAGGAACACCGGUGGCGAAGGCGGUUCUCUGGGCCUGACCUGACGCUGAGGAGCGAAAGCGUGGGGAGCGAACAGGAUUAGAUACCCGUGUAGUC